CGGUAGAUUGGUGAAAUGGUAGCCACAACAGUUUGCUAAACUGUCGUCGGAAACGGCGUGUAGGUUCAAGUCCUACAUCUACCGCCAA
rnacentral:tRNA from 1 species